rnacentral:lncRNA from 1 species
CAAGAGCUGGGACAGAACAACGGGAGCUCACCCCAUCAUGUGGAUAUGAACUGCUGACCUUCUGAUCAGCAGGCCCAAGAGGCUCAGUGGUUUAGACCACAGCACCACUUGCAUCCAUUCUGGGCUCUGUAGUCCCUCACAGUGGUAUAAUUCCCAGCAACUCUCAACAAACCACAGUGGCCAAGAUUUUCUGAGGGAAAGAAUGUGCUUCAACUGUUCUUUAAUGAUAUAGUGUAUACACAGCCUCACCUUCAGGAGUUGGGUGGCUUCAAACCCCACCUCCCAUCUUAAGGAACACACAGAGAAAAGCCCCAUAAAGCACAACUCUGUAUAUGGAAAACAUCCAAAAGUUCAACUCUGUGUUAAAUCUGGUAGUUGAAAAACUGUGUAUGAGGAGGACUCAGACAUCAAGACAUCCAGGUGAAAUCUCUGUUUUUGGCACCCUUCAUCAGGGUGGGUUUGUCACGGUUCUAUACAAAGUAGGACUUCAGUACAAUAUAGCUGAACUUCAGUGGCAAUCCCUCCAGGAAUGGCUUUGACUGGCCGGCUAAACCAGGUAAGGGUAGUUGAUGGGUCUCAAACCCUCCAUGAGUUAUGGACUUCCCCUGCAUGGGAAAACAGGCUCUGGCAGAUUGAGCAGACGAGCCCAAUAGUAGAUCCAACGGUCAAGAUGGCGGUUUCUGCAUGUGCAUAGAAGGAAGUGAGGAGCAGAUGGGGCUCACCAACCUAGGAAGGUAACCCAUCUAGGAGAAAUAGUCCCUAGAAACCUCCCAUGUUGGAUCCCAGCGCAUGGGGAGAUGUCAGUCUGCAAUGGCGCCCACCAUCGAGGGCAAGAGGACUUCUCUGCAGUCUAAAUUUAGCCGUCUAUCCACCCCACCCCGCUGACUAUGUGUUAAUUUGUUAUUCGUGAUUGUGUUUUGCUUCAUUGCACAGGACCGAGUUUGGUGGCCUUCCAGUUUGCAUUCUUGGCCUCCGGGUUCUCCCUUUUUAAUGUUAAUCUCCUUUUCUUGGCCUUGUAGCACUCGUUCCUUUCUUGCACUCACGAUAACAAUACCAGCAAACAGCAGGUGCCUCCAAGUUUCACAAAGAGAAGAAAGUUUUCCUUUUGCAGCUCUAGGGAAUUCAUUAGCUUGAAAUGACAAUUCUAGGAAGGAAAUCAGAGCUUUCUAUGUCAUUGAGGCUGUUAAAAAGUAGAUUGCCAAUGCCGGCCUGCUGGCACGAAACCAGAAUAUUGUAAAAGUGGGGGAAAGGAUCUAGGGCAUUUAAACCACUAUAAAAACUAUUGUAGCAUUUUGCCCAAUGUGCUGUCAUUUGACCAGGCUGUUAAAUUUGGCCGGCAACUUUCUUGCGGAUUAUAUUCCAGCAGUAAACUUGCCAGCAUUGACCUUCUCGUUUCCCAUCUGUUUUGUUUUUCAAAAAUCUUUUUUUGCUAAUAAAACUCUUCUCUCCCCCCCCUUCUUUGUCUCUGUUUCAUUCCCUGCACUUCUCUUUCUGCAGUAACUUCUGGAGUGUAAAUGCUAUGUCUGAGGGUUGUUCACAUUUCACAGGAAUCAAGUGUGAUAUGUGAUGUGAAGGAAGAAGAGAAAAUCAAACGUGAACUGCCAAAAGAUGCUGUUUGAAUGUCUGCCUGAAUUAAAGUCAGAAGCAGGG